rnacentral:rRNA from 1 species
UACGGAGGAUCCAAGCGUUGUCCGGAUUUAUUGGGUUUAAAGGGUGCGUAGGCGGAUAAUUAAGUCAGUGGUGAAAAUCUUGCGGCUCAACCGUAAAAUUGCCAUUGAAACUGAUUAUCUUGAGUACAGUUGAGGUGGGCGGAAUGUAUCAUGUAGCGGUGAAAUGCUUAGAUAUGAUACAGAACACCUAUUGCGAAAAGCAGCUCACUAAACUGCAACUGACGCUGAGGCACGAAAGCGUGGGGAUCAAACAGG